rnacentral:rRNA from 1 species
UCAAGCAACUAAGCGCAUACGGUGGAUGCCUUGGCAGUCAGAGGCGAUGAAAGACGUGGAAGCCUGCGAUAAGGUUCGGGGAGCUGGCAAACAAGCUGUGAUCCGGGCAUUUCUGAAUGGGGAAACCCACCGACUUUCGGGUCGGUAUCUUACACUGAAUCCAUAGGUGUAAGAGGCGAACCGGGGGAACUGAAACAUCUAAGUACCCCGAGGAAAAGAAAUCAACCGAGAUUCCCUAAGUAGCGGCGAGCGAACGGGGAUUAGCCCUUAAGCUUUUAACGUUUUAGUGGAAGGUUCUGGAAAGUUCCGCGAUACAGGGUGAUAGCCCCGUACACGAAAAGACGUUUUAAGUGAAAUCGAGUAGGUCGGGACACGUGUUAUCUUGACUGAAUGUGGGGGGACCAUCCUCCAAGGCUAAAUACUACUAACUGACCGAUAGUGAACCAGUACCGUGAGGGAAAGGCGAAAAGAACCCCGUAGAGGGGAGUGAAAUAGAACCUGAAACCGUAUGCGUACAAGCAGUAGGAGCAGACUUGUUCUGUGACUGCGUACCUUUUGUAUAAUGGGUCAGCGACUUAUGUUCAGUGGCGAGGUUAACCGUUUAGGGGAGCCGUAGGGAAACCGAGUCUGAAUAGGGCGAUUUAGUCGCUGGGCAUAGACCCGAAACCGGGCGAUCUAUCCAUGAGCAGGUUGAAGGUGCCGUAACAGGCACUGGAGGACCGAACCCACUGUCGUUGAAAAGCCAGGGGAUGACUUGUGGAUCGGAGUGAAAGGCUAAUCAAGCCCGGAGAUAGCUGGUUCUCCUCGAAAGCUAUUUAGGUAGCGCCUCGGACGAAUACCACAGGGGGUAGAGCACUGUUUCGGCUAGGGGGUCAUCCCGACUUACCAACCCGAUGCAAACUCCGAAUACCUGUGAGUACUAUCCGGGAGACACACGGCGGGUGCUAACGUCCGUCGUGAAGAGGGAAACAACCCAGACCGCCAGCUAAGGUCCCCAAGUACCAGUUAAGUGGGAAACGAUGUGGGAAGGCUCAGACAGCUAGGAGGUUGGCUUAGAAGCAGCCAUCCUUUAAAGAUAGCGUAACAGCUCACUGGUCUAAAUAAGUUAUCCUGCGGCGAAGAUGUAACGGGGCUCAAGCCAUGAGCCGAAGCUUAGGAUGCCGUAAGGCAUGGUAGCAGAGCGUAGUGUG